UGUCAGUAAAGGGAAAGAGGGGUGGGGUCUUGAUUAGGUAGAGCGCGCUUCUGGGCUCCGGUGUCACGUGCAGGAGGCGGGAGAGUCACCUGAUUAGGGAGAACCGGUCUUCUGAGCCACUUCCGCCCUCACUGGUUGCCGUGGUAACAGGCCUCCGGUGGAGGGCGGGGACCCUCGGAAGCCAGCUGGGUGGCGAUCGCUUGUCUGCCUUGGCAGGCCCCUUGUGCAGUCUUUUCCCGGCGUGAGCGUGCAGGGAUUGAAAAGGAAUGCUUUAUGGUUCAGCAGAGAGCCACCACGCAGGAUGCACUGGGACCUGAGAACCGUCGGGCAGUCCCACGAGCUCUUUCAUGACCAGCUCCAACCGACAAGUACACGCCCCUUCGCACUCCACUAGCUAGUAAGCUGAGCUACAAGGUGUGCCAGGCACCCAGGACGCCGAUUCACCGCUUCAGUGAAGGCCCAGCUCAAAUGCCACCUCUUCCAUGAAGACUUCCGUGAUCCACAAUGAUAGCAUCUCCAGCAAUUGCUUCUAUAAUGAAUAGCAUGAGUCAUUCUGCAGGAUGUUGAUCUUCCUUUUUUUACUCCUAGACUGAAUUUUUCCACCACCUGGAUGAACAUAGCAGAAAGAACAUAGUGUUUUAGAGUCAGACACAAUAGGAAUCAGGCACUUUGGAAUCUUGGCUCUACCACCUUUGAGCUAUGUAUCCCAAGAGCCCUCUUUCUUCCAUUCACUUACCUGUCUAGUCAAACACCCAUCAGACCUUUGCCAGGUGUCCAGCCUGGGCACUACGUUUCAGAAAAUGAUGCACAUAGAAUCCCUAACUGAAAGGAGAUCGCAGCUCAUUUGGUACAAAGUGGUAACGGCAGAGUCCCAAAACACAUGAAGCAAGAACUGACAGAACUGGAGGGAGACAUCAAUCAAUAACAACAGUUGGAGAAUUCAAUACCCUGCUCUGAAUAAUGGAUAGAACAAUUAGGCAGAAGACCAACAAAGAAAGAGGAUAUUUGAACAACGUGAUAAGCCAAUUUGACCUAAUAAAUAUCUUUAUCUGUGAAACACCCUAGCUUUUAGCCUGGGUAAGGAGCUGGAGAGAUGUGAAAAUGUGGAAAGCAAGCCUAAGUCGCAGUGUGGCCUAUGCCUGAGAGCCAUCUUCAGUGCCCCCUUGUGGCUGUAUCUGGGAACCACAGACAGAAUCAUGGAACUGACCAUCUUCAGUCUCAAAGUGCUGCCCUCACCACUACACCCAGGGGCAGGUGGUCUUCGGGGGAAAGGCGGUUCCAGUUCCUUCUCCCAAGCCAGUGAGGAAGUCAAUCCUGCGAACAACUGCAGGAACGGCCUUGGGAGUGGAUCCUUCCUCAGCCCGGCUCCAAGACAACUGCAGCCCUGUGAGAAACCCUGAGUGGAGGACCAAGCCAAGCCUCAAAUCGUGACUUGGAACUGGGAGACAACAGAUGCUGUUGGAAGCCACUGAGCUCUGAAGUAGUUUGUUACACAGUGACAGAAUCUAGGAUCUGGGGAAGGUAAACUGAGGCCACCAGUAAGCAUGUGCUCCAGGCCAAGGCUGAGUCUGUGCUGCAUCCAUGUCAUCAGCCACCCAAGAAAAACCAGUUACUCCACCUAGCUCAUGGUGGCGGCAUCCUCCCUGCAAUGGUGCAUGGGGGGCAGUCCUUUCCCCUGCAGGGUGUCAUUGCCACCCCCAUCCUCAUCCUGGAGGCCAGUCCAGGCUCCGAUAUGAGUGACUAGGGGUGAGGUAGGGGUGGCAGAAGGGAGAUCAAACUGGAGCAUUCCAGAUGCCUACUACUGCCCUCACACAACGGGGCAACUGUGCUCUCCAACUCCUCCCCUUGGCAGAGAAACUGGUCCUGCAGUUUCAGGACUAGACGAGCGUGGGGUAGUGGCAAUAAAGGGGCUUGUAUGAGAAGUG
rnacentral:lncRNA from 1 species